UACGGGGGGCAAGCGUUGUUCGGAAUUACUGGCGUAAGGGCUCGUAGGUGGUCAACUAAGUCGGACGUGAAUCCCUCGGCUUAACCGGGAACUGCGUCCGAUACUGGAUGACUUGAGUUCGGAGAGGGAUGCGGAAUUCCAGGUGGUAGCGGUGAAUGACGUAGAGUAUCUGGAGGAACGACCGGUGGCGAAGGCGGCAA
rnacentral:rRNA from 1 species